rnacentral:piRNA from 1 species
UGCCAUGGCAAAUGCGAAAUU